GAUGAACGCUAGCGGCGGGCUUAAUACAUGCAAGUCGAGGGGCAGCACGAUGUAGCAAUACAUUGGUGGCGACCGGCGGACGGGUGCGUAACACGUAUGCAACUUGCCCUAUACUGGGGGAUAGCCCGAAGAAAUUCGGAUUAAUACCCCAUAACAUCAGGAUCAGCAUUGAUCUUGGUUCAAAGUUCCGACGGUAUAGGAUGGGCAUGCGGUCGAUUAGCUUGUUGGUGAGGUAACGGCUCACCAAGGCGACGAUCGAUAGGGGGCCUGAGAGGGUGAUCCCCCACACUGGUACUGAGACACGGACCAGACUCCUACGGGAGGCAGCAGUAAGGAAUAUUGGUCAAUGGGCGCAAGCCUGAACCAGCCACGCCGCGUGAAGGAAGACGGCCCUAUGGGUUGUAAACUUCUUUUGUACGAGAAGAAACACUCCUUCGUGAAGGAGCUUGACGGUAUCGUAAGAAUAAGGAUCGGCUAACUCCGUGCCAGCCGCCGCCGUAAUAC
rnacentral:rRNA from 1 species